CCUACGGGUGGCUGCAGUGGGGAAUAUUGGACAAUGGGGGCAACCCUGAUCCAGCCAUGCCGCGUGUGUGAAGAAGGCCCUCGGGUUGUAAAGCACUUUCAGUGAGGAAGAACGCCUGGUGGUUAAUACCCAUCAGGAAAGACAUCACUCACAGAAGAAGCACCGGCUAACUCCGUGCCAGCAGCCGCGGUAAUACGGAGGGUGCGAGCGUUAAUCGGAAUUACUGGGCGUAAAGCGCGCGUAGGUGGCUUGAUAAGCCGGUUGUGAAAGCCCCGGGCUCAACCUGGGAACGGCAUCCGGAACUGUCGAGCUAGAGUGCAGGAGAGGAAGGUAGAAUUCCCGGUGUAGCGGUGAAAUGCGUAGAGAUCGGGAGGAAUACCAGUGGCGAAGGCGACCUUCUGGACUGACACUGACACUGAGGUGCGAAAGCGUGGGUAGCAAACAGGAUUAGAUACCCCAGUAGUC
rnacentral:rRNA from 1 species